rnacentral:rRNA from 1 species
GACGAACGCUGGCGGCGUGCUUAACACAUGCCAGUCGAACGGAAAGGCCCUGCUUUUGUGGGGUGCUCGAGUGGCGAACGGGUGAGUAACACGUGAGUAGCCUGCCCUUGACUUUGGGAUAACUUCAGGAAACUGGGGCUAAUACCGGAUAGGAGCUCCUGCUGCAUGGUGGGGGUUGGAAAGUUUCGGCGGUUGGGGAUGGACUCGCGGCUUAUCAGCUUGUUGGUGGGGUAGUGGCUUACCAAGGCUUUGACGGGUAGCCGGCCUGAGAGGGUGACCGGCCACAUUGGGACUGAGAUACGGCCCAGACUCCUACGGGAGGCAGCAGUGGGGAAUAUUGCACAAUGGGCGGAAGCCUGAUGCAGCAACGCCGCGUGCGGGAUGACGGCCUUCGGGUGGUAAACCGCUUUCGCCUGUGACGAAGCGUGAGUGACGGUAAUGGGUAAAGAAGCACCGGCUAACUACGU